rnacentral:snoRNA from 1 species
GUCCUCCUAUACCCUUUCCCAUCAGAUCUGAACGUUGGUCUUGGUGGUCGUAAAAGGAGGAAAACUAAUACUGAAGCUGGCCUCAAUGUUGCAAUCUGGUAUAUAGCACGUGGGCUAGUUUCAGACAGGU